UAGCAUAUAUGGAAGAUGGAUUUUCGUACACUUAUUGACAUUAUGAGUUUGUGGUGAUGUCAUUUGGGUUUUCGAAUGCACUGGUAGCAUUAAGAAAACCUAUUAAUGUCUUGUGUGCGCACUUGGGCAAGUGUGCGAUUGUCUUCAUCGAUGACAUCAUGAUUUAUUCUCGUAGCAGAGAGGAGCAUGCUGAGCAUUUAUGGAUCAUGUUAGGUAAGCUUGGAAAGCAUCAGUGGUUGCUAGCUGAGUAAGUGUAGCUUUCACGUGGUGUCAGAAGCAAGAAUUGCUGUAGAUUCAGAAAAAAAAAUUACCACACUUUCAAGGUGGUCAACACCUAAGAGGUACAGAGAUCUGAAGCAGUAUUAUCAUUUGCCUGGUAUGAAGAAGGAUGUUACUACAUUUCACAAUGUCAGAUGUAUCAGGUGGUUAAGGCUAAGCAUCAGGUGCCUAGCAAGUUACUACAAAAUCUGCCGUUGCCAUAGUGGAAUAGAACAUGAUGACUAUAGAUUUUGUUAUUGGACGACCGACCACCUCAGGUGAGAGGAAUGCUAUAUGGAUGAUCGUGGAUAGACUCACCAAGUUAUCUCAUUUCUUAGUGAUUAAGAAGAUGGACUCAGCUGAUAGGUUGGCACAGAUUUACAUCCGUGAGAUUGUGAGGCUGCAUGGAGUUCCUGUCAGUAUUGUAUCGGAUUGGGAUACAAAAUUCACAUUUGCAUUUUGGAGAACCUCUCAGAAGGCACUUGAGACAAAGGGUUACAUGAGUACAACCUAUCAUCCGCAGAAAGAUGGAAAAUCAGAGAUGACCAUUCAGACCUUGGAAGAUAUGUUCAGGGCUUAUAUUUUGGAUUGGGAAGGGAGCUAUGGAAAAUGUUACCUUUAGCAGAAUUUGCUUACAACAACAACUAUCAUUCAAAUAUUGAGAUGGCAGCAUAUGAGGCACUUUAUGGUAGGCUUUCGUACAUCACUUUAUUGGACAUAAGUGGGGAAGCGAGAAUUUAUAGAACCAUCAAUGGUUUAAAAGACAGUAGAGCAAGUGGACAUGCUCAAGGUCCGGAUUUAAGAAGUUCAUGAUCGCCAGGGGAGUUAUGUGUUCAAGCACCAUAAGGAUUUGGAUUUUCAGGCAGACGGCCUAGUAUACCGGAAAAAUGAGAAUGUUUUAGGGAGGAUCUACGACUAAAAAGCUAACAAAAAAAAACAAAAAAAAAUCUGGACAUACCCUGCCAACUGAGAUUAUAGAUCAGUAAGUGAAAGAGGUGCAAGGGAUGAUGAUCAUGUUGGGUAAGAGUUGUUGGAAAAGAGACAUGAUUCAUUAGGAGACCUGGGAGACCGAGUCAAAGGUCAUGAAUGAAUAUCAAAAUUUUAUUUUGGAAAAUAAAAUUAGCAGACGAGUCUAGACUUGAAUUCGAGGACGAAUUCUUUGUUAGUGGAGAAGAAUUGUAACGACCCAGACCCAAAACCAAGAUGUGGUUUAUCUAUUUAUUUCUUGGACCAAAUAUUUAUUUAAACCGGUGGUUUGGUUCAAUUAUUUAAUUGAAUGAUUACAUACCUAAUUAUAUAAGUGUACGCAUUCUCUUCUUCAUUUGUUGCCGUCAACAUCAUCGUAGAGAGAGGGAGAGAGCUAAGCCAUUCUUCAUCGCUAUCUUCUUCUCCAUAUUAGCCACCUCUCGUUGGUCAGCACCAGAAUCAUCAUGUUGACCUGAGGCAGAGUCGGAGAUUCCUUACCGUGUCGGAACCACCGUUCUUAACAAACCAUCGCUAGUUUGAUCCAAGCCUUGCUGGCGAUUUGUUGUGUGUGCCAUCACCACCGUCCACAUGAGUUACCGCCGGAGUCGUCACAGCCUUACCGCCACUGGAGAGCUGAGCCGUGUCACUGGAGAUCUGGACUUUCGAGCCGUAGCUAUGUCCGAGAAGGUUAAGUGUAUUACACAAGAAACAUAUUUAACAUGCACUUUUAUCGUGGGCAUGUGUAGGAAGCGAUCAUGGACCUUAUGGGUGACUUGUUUGCCAAGUCAUUCUCUUUAAGGCCUAGAUGUUUGACGAGGCAUAUCAGAUUUCGGGUAUGGUAUGAUCAAUCUCCGAUUUUGACUAAGGUGACGGUCAAUUCCGUAAAUCCUCUACCAGUGUAGAAUUCUUUCUAUCGUAGUUUAGAUUUCGAAGCAUGAAUUAAGUCUAUUUGAGUCGUGUUUGGUAGUUAGUUCAUUCAUUGUAAACCGGUAUUAGGGGUCUGGAGGAUUCAACUAUUGAUUGGAUUGUGUGAUGCUGAGUUAUGAGAUAUAUAUAUACAUUAUGUACAUAGUUAUGAGUAGGGACUAUGUGCGAGGGCGGGGGUUCAAGGAUGCCUGAACUAGCGAGGCAACUAUUGAGGGCGGGGGUUCAAAGACGUCUGGGCUAGCGACGCAGCUUUGUGUGGGGCGUGGUGCAGAGACGUUUGCAUUGACGCAGCUUUGUUGGGCGGGGGUACAGAGACAUACUGUACUAGCGACCCAGCAUAUGUAUAUCCGUAUGAGGAGGUGCGGGGUGUGUGGUUUAGCUAUGCACUAUCAGCGCAUUGUUUGUUAUGUGUGAUGCUUUAGGCGUUUUGUUUGUUCAUGUUAGAGCUAAACUUCCAUAGUGGGAGUUCUAUUUACUCAAGUCAGUGAUUGUGCGUGGGUAGCAUCCCAUACCUCGCUGAGUGACUCCCCUGUUGCUCAUCUCUCUUUUCUCUCCCCUUUCAGGUGAGACUGACGGACAUGAGUGAUUGCUAUUGGAUCAGUGCUUUUGGGUGUAUUUCUUUCAUUUCUUUUCAGACUUUCGGUUUUAUGAUUUUAUCGCUAUUUUCAAAGAUUUAUUCUAUUAUUUGGAUUUAUGACUAUUUAUUGAAUUUAUGGUGUUGAGUUGACUUUUGAGAAGUAAUAAAUGAAGAUUUUCAGAAAUUAUUAUUUAUUAUUUUAUUUUGAGAAAUGCGGGUGUUACACUUCUUAUUCUGGAAACUGGAACUAGGCUUGGAACAUAUACAUGAUAACAAGAUUGAUCACUCAAUCUACGCCAUAUAUUCCCUUGAACUUGUUUGUAUAUCUCACCCUCACCCAAUUCGUAAACAUAUGUGUAAACAUAUGCCUCCUUGUAAUCUACUUCCUCAACCCAUAAUAACAUAGUCUUUUUGGUCUUGUAGAUGCGGUAUGCCAAAAAAGAGAGGGUAAUACUGGGAGAUCAUCGAGAGUUAAAGUACUUGCUCCACGAGACAUCUCCAUCGGUCAACUUAUUUAUGUCAAGAAAACAUUGAGACCGUUAGUACUCAAAUUAUCAAGUUUAUGCAGGCAGUUCAAUUCGUCGUCUUGCAAGAGUUUCGAGAUUAAGAGCAAAUUAGGGCCUCGAGUACCGUGAGGAUCAGCAGGAUUGUCAAUUGACCACAAAAGAAAGUCCAUUGUCAUCUUAGCCAAUCUUGAAAAUUUGUCGGCUGGAGAAUUGCGUACCACGGUGAUUAAGACUCGGGCAUCUUCAUAGUCAAACUCGUCAUUGUCAACAUAGGCAUAGAUUGAGAUGCCACCACAAGGACAAGGAACAAGAGCACGAACAGCUGAUAAGAUAUUCUCAUAAAACACAGGGAGUUGUAGACCGAGAGGGAGAGGGUAAUCAGAGACAUCCCAGAAGACGCAUGUUUCAACACCCUGAGGCAUGGAGAAACUUUUGGUAUGGGCAUCGGGAGGUGGGAGCUCAAUAAAAUAUCUCUGGCUAUGCUUUACAUCUUCAUCUUCUUCCUCAUGCUCAAGGUGGUCAAGUAGGUCAAAUAGGUGUGGACAAAGCAACACUGGGAUUCUCUCAGGCCCAAGAACCACAUUGGAGGAUACAGUGAUUCCAAAAUUACUUUGUGGUGCUUCAGGCAGUGCAAAUAAAACAGGGAAGCCUCUGCUUGUCAAAGAAGCAAGCACCCUACAGAUCAUCUCUGUGUCUUGUGCCAAUUUUGUGAUGAUCACCAACGGGGAUACGUGAUCGUCAUCGUGUGAAGCCAUUAAAACAGCAUCCACUAACAUCAUAUAGUUUAUUUGAUGUGCCUCUUCUUUCGAAAAUCUUAAAAUAUUGUCGCAUUCAGGACUCAAGAAAUACUCAUGUUCCAAGUC